UACGUAGGGGGCUAGCGUUGUCCGGAAUCAUUGGGCGUAAAGAGCGUGUAGGCGGCCCGAUAAGUCCGCUGUGAAAGUCCAGGGCUCAACCCUGGGAUGCCGGUGGAUACUGUCGGGCUCGAAUCCGGAAGAGGUGAGUGGAAUUCCUGGUGUAGCGGUGAAAUGCGCAGAUAUCAGGAGGAACACCAAUGGCGAAGGCAGCUCACUGGGACGGUAUUGACGCUGAGACGCGAAAGCGUGGGGAGCAAACAGG
rnacentral:rRNA from 1 species